GAUGAACGCUAGCGGGAGGCUUAACACAUGCAAGUCGAGGGGCAUCACGAGGUAGCAAUACUUUGGUGGCGACCGGCGCACGGGUGAGUAACACGUAUGCAACCUUCCCUGUACAGGGGGAUAACCCGGAGAAAUUCGGACUAAUACCCCAUGAUGAUAUUAUGGGGCAUCCUUUAAUAUUUAAAGCUCUGGCGGUACAGGAUGGGCAUGCGCGACAUUAGCUAGUUGGUAAGGUAACGGCUUACCAAGGCGACGAUGUUUAGGGGACCUGAGAGGGUUGUCCCCCACACUGGUACUGAGACACGGACCAGACUCCUACGGGAGGCAGCAGCAAGGAAUAUUGCACAAUGGGCGAAAGCCUGAUGCAGCAACGCCGCGUGGGCGAUGAAGGCCUUCGGGUUGUAAAGCCCUUUUCUGCGGGAAGAGCAAGGACGGUACCGCAGGAAUAAGUCUCGGCUAACUACGUG
rnacentral:rRNA from 1 species